AACGAACGCUGGCGGCAGGCCUAACACAUGCAAGUCGAGCGAAGCCUUCGGGCUUAGCGGCGGACGGGUGAGUAACGCGUGGGAACGUGCCCUUUGGUACGGAAUAGCCCCGGGAAACUGGGAGUAAUACCGUAUGUGGUCGAGAGACGAAAGAUUUAUCGCCAAAGGAUCGGCCCGCGUUGGAUUAGGUAGUUGGUGGGGUAAUGGCCUACCAAGCCGACGAUCCAUAGCUGGUUUGAGAGGAUGACCAGCCACACUGGGACUGAGACACGGCCCAGACUCCUACGGGAGGCAGCAGUGGGGAAUCUUAGACAAUGGGGGAAACCCUGAUCUAGCCAUGCCGCGUGAUCGAUGGAGGCCUUAGGGUUGUAAAGAUCUUUCAGUGGGGAAGAUAAUGACUGUACCCACAGAAGAAGCCCCGGCUAACUCCGUGCCAGCCGCCGCAGUAACAC
rnacentral:rRNA from 1 species